AGGCCUUUAUAAUUUAAAAAAUAAGAUAUUUUCAAUAGGGGCCACAGUAGCCUCAAAGUAGUUGGACGAAGUUUUCUGACAUGUUUUAAAGACUAAAAGUCUGCCUUAAAACAUCAACAGGGACAUGUUAUUAGAUUCUACGAUUUUAAAUUUUACCUUAAGAUAGCAGUAUAAUUUUGUUACACACGUAGAAUUUAAUAAUUUGCACAAUGAUGCUUGCUUGCUUGUGACCAGUAUGCUGAUUUCAGGACGCAUUAUAGGUGCUCAAAAAUAAAGCACUAAUAGACGGGCUAUCGGACCGCGACCUUAUUACGGUCCAACGCCUGUUCGAUCGAGUGGAAGGUGGUUCGACGUCCGUCCGUUAAGGACGCAGUUAUGAGUGAAAGCGAGAAAGAGAUAAGCUUACCGGACCAAGGUCGCGUCUGUUAGCACUAUUCAAGAAAUCCGUGAUACUAUUCAAACGUAAACUUUUUCGGAUUGGCUGUUACAGAGGGUAUGGACCUGAUUGGCGGAUUUAAGAGGGAUACGUUCAAGUAGUAUCAUUCGGUCUUAAUCUUUCGCUCAGAAACCACGACAUGAGUUUGUGACGGCGCAUAUUCCGUCCAACCUGGCAACCCCAACCCGAACUCGCCGGACAAUAUAUUUAUGAAAUAAUUUGU